GGCAUUCGAACCAUCUAAUUGUGUCAUUCUUUCGAAGAGAAAGCACAUGUUUUGUAUAAACUAAGUUUUUUCAGCUGGUAUUUUGUAGUAGGUAAUUUAAUGUUUUGCUAAAAUUCUGUUUAAAAACAAGAAUAAUAUUUGAAUUAAGUCGAGACACUGUAGACAACGAAAUACAUAUUGGUUGCGGUGGUUGAAUUUGAUGGAAUAAUCUAGGUACUUGAUUCUUUAUGAAAAGAUCUUUAUAUUUAGCAUAUGUCUAUCUGGUAGCCCAUAGGGAGGUAGCACAUCGGAUUAGAAAAUAUGUUCCUAUUGACAGAGCCCGAGUUCUGCAAGAAGAGUACACCAAUAUCGCAGCAAUCCAACAAAUCAUGAUCCAACAAUUUUUAUGAAAGAACUCGAGAUCUCGGAACAUAGAACAAUUCAAUGGUCAGAAGCUCACCGAUACAAUAACCACCAUCUUAUUACCAGAAUGCCUCAUCGAAACGUUUAAUUCCUCGAAGAGACAUGCAUACUGGCAAGCUGGAAUCAACAUAUCAUGGCCAGCACAUACUUCUUAACAUUGUGGAUGACAAUGGAAUCGGUCGUAGGACAGUAAUGAAGCUUUUUGGUCCACUGAAGAUGGAGACGGCAAGGAUCUGUUCGAGUGUCGAGUGUAAAUAUGCCAACGACAAUGACACCCGCUGCUAUACAACCAAAUGAUUCAACUUUAUUAAUUAGGAACUUUAUUUAGCGAUGGCGAAGACAUUUUAUACAUUUGUACAAAAUUUGUUUUUAUUUCAUUUCAUCCGUCCGGAAUUCGAUUUACGUUAGAGAAUUGAAAACCAAUGAAAGAUUGUUUUUUAUAUACCUCCACCGUUGAUUCGUUGGAAGUUAUCGCAAAACAAUGCUUUUUGAAUUGGGUUUCGAUCCGAUGACGAAAAUCGGACUCCGGGCGGAAAUUGCAUUCCUGUAUCAUUGUAAACAUAUGAAAGAAAACACGAAAUACAUUCAUUAACAAAUAAAAUUCAACACGAUUAUACAUCAAAUUCAUUUAGAAAACAAGCGAACGUGUCAAGCCAUUCAAUCCAAAUCGAUU